rnacentral:tRNA from 1 species
UGAUAAAAAAAGGACUCUAACCUUUAUGACAGGAGCUACAAUCCUACACCUGCUUCGGCCAUUUUACCA